GACAGAGGUGCCGAGCGUUAGGCGGAAUCACUGGGCUUAAAGCGUGUGUAGGCGGAUGGGUAAGUACCUUGUGAAAUCCCACGGCUCAACCGUGGAAACUGCUCGGUAUACUGCUCGUCUUGAGCCAACUAGGGGCGACCGGAACAAACGGUGGAGCGGUGAAAUGCGUAGAUAUCGUCAAGAACACCGAUAGCGAAGGCAGCUUA
rnacentral:rRNA from 1 species